UACAGGGGGUGCAAACGUUGCUCGGAAUUAUUGGGCGUAAAGCGCGCGUAGGCGGCUACUUAAGUCGGAUGUGAAAGCCCCUGGCUCAACUGGGGAAGUGCACCCGAAACUGAGUAGCUAGAGUGCAAAAGAGGGUCGCGGAAUUCCCGGUGUAGAGGUGAAAUUCGUAGAUAUCGGGAGGAACACCGGUGGCGAAGGCGGCGACCUGGGUUGACACUGACGCUGAGGAGCGAAAGCCAGGGGAGCAAACGGG
rnacentral:rRNA from 1 species